AUUGAACGCUGGCGGCAGGCCUAACACAUGCAAGUCGAGCGGAUGAAGGGAGCUUGCUCCUGGAUUCAGCGGCGGACGGGUGAGUAAUGCCUAGGAAUCUGCCUGGUAGUGGGGGAUAACGUCCGGAAACGGGCGCUAAUACCGCCUACGUCCUGAGGGAGAAAGUGGGGGAUCUUCGGACCUCACGCUAUCAGAUGAGCCUAGGUCGGAUUAGCUAGUUGGUGGGGUAAAGGCCUACCAAGGCGACGAUCCGUAACUGGUCUGAGAGGAUGAUCAGUCACACUGGAACUGAGACACGGUCCAGACUCCUACGGGAGGCAGCAGUGGGGAAUAGUAGACAAUAGGCGAAAGCCUGAUCCAGCCAUGCCGCGUGUGUGAAGAAGGUCUUCGGAUUGUAAAGCACUUUAAGUUGGGAGGAAGGGCAGUAAGUUAAGACCUUGCUGUUUUGACGUUACCAACAGAAUAAGCACCGGCUAACUUCGUG
rnacentral:rRNA from 1 species